CCUACGGGUGGCAGCAGUGGGGAAUAUUGCGCAAUGGGGUGAACCCUGACGCAGCAACGCCGCGUGCGGGAUGAAGGCCUUCGGGUUGUAAACCGCUUUCAGCAGGGAAGAGACAGACGGUACCUGCAGAAGAAGCCCCGGCUAACUACGUGCCAGCAGCCGCGGUAAUACGUAGGGGGCGAGCGUUAUCCGGAUUCAUUGGGCGUAAAGCGCGCGCAGGCGGACCGUUAAGCGGGACCUCUAAUCCUGGGGCUCAACCUCAGGCCGGGUCCCGAACUGGCGGUCUCGAGUGCGGUAGGGGAGGUCGGAAUUCCCGGUGUAGCGGUGGAAUGCGCAGAUAUCGGGAAGAACACCGAUGGCGAAGGCAGACCUCUGGGCCGACACUGACGCUGAGGCGCGAAAGCUAGGGGAGCGAACAGGAUUAGAUACCCCUGUAGUC
rnacentral:rRNA from 1 species